rnacentral:rRNA from 1 species
GACGAACGCUGGCGGCGUGCUUAACACAUGCAAGUCGAACGGAAAGGCCCUGCUUUUGUGGGGUGCUCGAGUGGCGAACGGGUGAGUAACACGUGAGUAACCUGCCCUUGACUUUGGGAUAACUUCAGGAAACUGGGGCUAAUACCGGAUAGGAGCUCCUGCUGCAUGGUGGGGGUUGGAAAGUUUCGGCGGUUGGGGAUGGACUCGCGGCUUAUCAGCUUGUUGGUGGGGUAGUGGCUUACCAAGGCUUUGACGGGUAGCCGGGCUGAGAGGGUGACCGGCCACAUUGGGACUGAGAUACGGCCCAGACUCCUACGGGAGGCAGCAGUGGGGAAUAUUGCACAAUGGGCGGAAGCCUGAUGCAGCAACGCCGCGUGCGGGAUGACGGCCUUCGGGUUGUAAACCGCUUUCGCCUGAGACGAAGCGUGAGUGACGGUAAUGGGUAAAGAAGCACCGGCUAACUACGUG